AAUCAACGCUGGCGGCGCGCUUAACACAUGCAAGUCGCACGAGAAAGGGAGCAAUCCUGAGUAAAGUGGCGUACGGGUGAGUAACACGUGGGAAUCUACCUCUUGGCGGGGAAUAACCCUGGGAAACCGGGGCUAAUACCGCAUAAGCUCGUGAGAGGACAGCAGCAAUGCACCGAGAGAGGAGCCCGCGGCCGAUUAGCUAGUUGGUGGGGUAAUGGCUCACCAAGGCGAAGAUCGGUAGCCGGCCUGAGAGGGCACACGGCCACACUGGCACUGAAACACGGGCCAGACUCCUACGGGAGGCAGCAGUGGGGAAUCUUGCACAAUGGGGGAAACCCUGAUGCAGCGACGCCGCGUGAGCGAUGAAGCCCUUCGGGGUGUAAAGCUCUUUCGACAGGAACGAUGAUGACGGUACCUGGAGAAGAAGCUGCGGCUAACUACGUG
rnacentral:rRNA from 1 species